GCUCUGCUGUCUAGUCUCUGAUCAUAGUGCGGCUAAUGUCCCCUGCAUUACUCGUUGUGCUGACAUGUAACGUCUCAUCACUCAGGGCUCUCUGCUGCUCACCGCCGCUGACCACAAAUGGCAGCGGUCAGAGGUACCUCACCGCCGCCGCACCAAAGGUCUCCUUCUAACCGCUGCCCAUGGGCUUCACCGCUGCCGACUACACCUCUGCACAGCUGCCAACCACAGUCCCUUCCGCAUCUCCGCUGUUCAUCUCAUUAGCUCUGUCCCAUUGGAAAUGCUUUUUGCAUUAUUACUGAAUUGGAUGCAUCCUAAGGACCACACUGACCAUGAUGUUUUUAAAAAUUCAAGUUGAACUUUUCACCUGACGGAUGACCUAAGAAACUGGUUACUAAUUCAUAUAAAAGGGAUGCAUCAUUAUUAUUAAUACUUCUAACGUAUUUUCUAUCAUAUACUGUCACGUUAGAGCGCCCUGGACACAGAGUAGUGUCUAUCUCUCUUUUGUAUUCUGGGUAUGGGAAUGUAUCCACUAUCCCAGAAGUACUGGCAGGGGUUUAUACUGAUAUACUGUACAUGAAAAAAGAAAAAAUAACAGCCUCCAAUUGUGUAGCAUAAGAUGCACACAAUUGUAAUUAAAAAACAAAGUGGACACUAUUAAAAAAAAAGAGUAUGCUUAUCUGCCUCUGCAAUUGAGGUGUCCCAGAAUCAUUCCAAUGUGUUUUGUUCCUCUAUUAUGUCUGGGGACUGCAAGAGUCCCACUCACUGUCUGUUAUUGGGUUGUGUACACAAAGCGGGUGUAUGUGUGUGUUUUGGAUGGGCCCUUUAAAAUGUGACUAUGGGCCUUAAAAAUUUCUACUCAUACCCCUGUAUAGGUGUUCGUGGUUUCCUUACACAUUGUGCUUCUAGUUAUUUUUAUUAGCAUAAUAUAUAUGUGGAUGAAUUACAGUAUGUGUCUUGGCAGAUUAAUUCAACUUUUAAAACAGACUUGUAUAACUUCAAAAUGAUAAAGUAUGCUUAAACUUUGAGAUAUUUGUGUGUCUCUUAAUUUUUACUCAAGAUGAUCUUUUCUCAAAGUAGGUCAAUGAGGCAUAUGUGAUGGUUUUAAGGCAGGCUCUAGGCAGAGA